AUUGAACGCUGGCGGCAGGCCUAACACAUGCAAGUCGAACGAGAAAGUACCUUCGGGUGCGAGUAGAGUGGCGCACGGGUGAGUAACACGUAGGUAAUCUGCCUUUUGGUGGGGGAUAACCAGGAGAAAUCCUGGCUAAUACCGCAUAAGUUGGUAACAAGAAAGGAUGCUCCGGCAUUCGCCGAAAGAUGAGCCUGCGGGACAUUAGCUUGAUGGUGGGGUAACGGCCUACCAUGGCGACGAUGUCUAGCUGGUCUGAGAGGAUGAGCAGCCACACUGGGACUGGGACACGGCCCAGACUCCUACGGGAGGCAGCAGUGGGGAAUUUCCGCAAUGGGCGAAAAGCCUGACGGAGCAAGACCG
rnacentral:rRNA from 1 species